AUGGGUGGGGCUCAGGGAGGAGCCUCCAACCUCCAACCCCUCUCUUGGAGGAAAACCAUCAAAGGAGCCAGAGCUUUGCUCCGCUGGAUCCAGGGCUUUCAGUUAAGCUGCUGGGAGGUUUCUGUAAAAGGAGUUAGCACCGUGUCAGGAGUGAAGUACUUCGGCACAGGAACUAAACUGAUAGUCACAGCUCCAGGUCUGUCUCUCAAGAUCUGGGGGAACAUUGUUGAGGAAAUUAAAGUAAUGAAAGAUGAAGAUGCAGCGCUCAGGCACUGUGCCUUCCAGAGUGGUGUUUAUACUAAAGUGUUCGGUUCCGGCACCAAACUCAUCGUCGUAAAUGUCUUCGGAACUGGGACGAAGCUCAUCGUAACAGAGAAAGAUGCUACCCCACAAUUGAGUGAACCCAUCAAGUUUUUCCCAUCUUCACUAGAGCAGAAACAACAAAAUACAGAAACCUAUGUUUGCCUCUUCAAGGAUUUUUACCCUGAUGUUAUCAGAAUGCACUGGAAGGAAGAGGGGAGUGAUAAGAUCCUGGAGUCCCAGCAAGGGGACCCAUUCCUAAAGGAGGACAAGUACUGGCAGAUGAGCUGGUUGACCGUUAAGAAAUCAUCACCAGGAAAGAUUUACAAAUUGAUAUACAAACAUGAGAAGACUGGUCGGGAAGAAAAGGAAGUGCUUUUCCCAGCACCAGCUCCUGUCUCCAUCACUGCUACAAAAGCCUCUAAUACGGUCAAAACUCAUCGUCCCACCGUUGCCCCUACAGCCAAGGAAGACUGCACCACUGUUCCAGAUCACAUCCCCGGGGUUAAACAAGAUGUGCAGUUCGUGAACACAACUGCUUUUUACACCUACACCAUCCUUCUGCUCAAGAGCACCAUGUAUUGCGUCGUCAUGUUGUUCUUCACGUACAAAAGGACCAUGUCCAGUUAGAGGGGUAGAGGUUCGGCCCAUUGACAUCUCCGGAGAAAUGUAUGGGGGCCAACGGGAUUUUCCAAGACCACAUGCACGGCUUCCCUCCAGACCUGCACACGAGGGGCACAGUGGUACAUGGAUGUUUGAUAUGUGUUAUUUUUGUUGCAAUUACAAGUAAUUCUUCUAAGUAAUCACCAGGCAGAGGUUUAUUUUCUAAUUUUACUUUUGAACUGUAGAGAAAAAUGAGGUUGUAACAAACACUCUUUCAUUGAUAUUGUUUUUUAUAUUCUGGGCUUAGUUUUAGACUUAUUUCUCAUUUUCUUUAUCAGUCUGUUUAUUCACAAAAAUAAAAGCACCACCAUUCCUGCUACUAACAGUUGUGGAAUUGUUCUUUCUCCUGUUCUCACCAGUAAAUAAUUUGUGUUUGCUUGUCUCCACCAUUGGAUUGUAAAUUCCCACCCCCAAUCCUUAACCUGGGAGCUAGUUGGGGCAGUAAUUGUGUCUAAUCUGUUGCAUUUACCCCAGUUCUUAAUGCAGUGUUUGGCACUUAACAAAUACCACAAUUAUUAUUAUUAGUAGUAUGAUUAUUAUUGUUAGUAGCAUGAUCAUUAUUAAAUUCCUCAGGG